rnacentral:rRNA from 1 species
GUCCCAGUUCGGAUUGUGGGCUGCAACCCGCCCACAUGAAGUCGGAAUUGCUAGUAAUUGCAGGUCAGCAUACUGCAGUGAAUACGUUCCCGGGUCUUGUACACACCGCCCGUCAAACCAUGAGAGUCAGCAACACCCGAAGUCAGUAGCGUAACCGCAAGGAGCGCGCUGCCGAAGGUGGGGUUGAUGAUUGGGGUUAAGUCGUAACAAGGUAUC